GUGAGUCAUCGAGUCUUUGAACGCAUCUUGCACCCCGAUGGAAUUCCGUCGGGUAUGCUUGUCUGAGUGUGUUCAUUCAUCUCAAUCGCCUACCUUUUUAAGGUACGAGAUUGGACCGUGAGUCGGGCGUUUUUUUUAGGUAAAUGCCCACUUUAAUGAGAGCAGGUUGACCACAAGCGCGGUUUGACCGGAUGUUGUAAUUUUCCUCAUUCGGGACGCAAUUGGGCGACUUUAAAGCUAAAAUAACACUUUAGACCUCAGAUCAAGUAGGAGUACCCGCUGAACUUAAGCAUAUCAAUAAGGCGAGG
rnacentral:rRNA from 1 species